rnacentral:rRNA from 1 species
AACGGAGGGUGCAAGCGUUGUUCGGAAUUACUGGGCGUAAAGCGCGUGCAGGUGGCUAUUUAAGUCUCGUGUGAAAUCCCUCGGCUUAACCGAGGAACUGCGCGAGAUACUGGAUGGCUUGAAUACGGGAGAAGAGGGCGGAAUUCCCAGUGUAGAGGUGAAAUUCGUAGAUAUUGGGAGGAACACCGGCGGCGAAAGCGGCUCUCUAGACCGAUAUUGACGCUCAUACGCGAGAGCGUGGGUAGCAAACAGG